AAUUGGAGGGCAAGUCUGGUGCCAGCAGCCGCGGUAAUUCCAGCUCCAAUAGCGUAUAUUAAAGUUGUUGCAGUUAAAAAGCUCGUAGUUGAAUUUCGGGAUUGACACGUCGGUCGUGCCCUAAGGGGUAUGAACUGGCGUAGUCAAUUUCUCACCUUCUGGAGAACCGCGCUGUCCUUAAUUGGGUGACGCGGGGAACCAGGACCUUUACUUUGAAAAAAUUAGAGUGUUUAAAGCAGGCAUUUUGCUCGAAUACAUUAGCAUGGAAUAAUAGAAUAGGACGGCAUGGUUCUAUUUUGUUGGUUUCUAGGAUCACCGUAAUGAUUAAUAGGGAUAGUUGGGGGCAUUAGUAUUCAAUUGUCAGAGGUGAAAUUCUUGGAUUUAUUGAAGACUAACUACUGCGAAAGCAUUUGCCAAGGAUGUUUUCAUUAAUCAAGAACGAAAGUUAGGGGAUCGAAGACGAUCAGAUACCGUCGUAGUCUUAACCAUAAACUAUGCCGACUAGGAAUCAGACGAUGUUAAUUUUUUAAUGACUCGUUUGGCACCUUACGGGAAACCAAAGUGU
rnacentral:rRNA from 1 species